rnacentral:rRNA from 1 species
UGUGACCUGUCUUGAAGCACGGCCCAAGGAGUCUAACAUGUAUGCGAGUCAUUGGGAAUGAAAACCCAAAGGCAUAAUGAAAGUAAAGAAUUCGAUUGCGAAUUUGAGGAGAGAUCAUGGCACUUGUUGGUAUGCCGUAAGGUUAUUAUCAACAAGUGUGUGCGCAUCUCCUGGACGUCUAUACCCUUGAGGGUUGGGCGUACCAAGAGCAUACACGUUGGGACCCGAAAGAUGGUGAACUAUGCCUGGUCAGAACGAAGUCAGGGGAAACUCUGAUGGAGGUUCGUAGCGAUUCUGACGUGCAAAUCGAUCGUCGGAACUGGGUAUAGGGGCGAAAGACUAAUCGAACCAUCUAGUAGCUGGUUCCCUCCGAAGUUUCCCUCAGGAUAGCUGGCGCUUGAUUAAAUCAGUCUCAUCCGGUAAAGCGAAUGAUUAGAGGCCUUGGGGCCGAAACGACCUCAACCUAUUCUCAAACUUUAAAUGGGUGAGAAGUCAGGCU